AUCCUUUUGCCUCGCUUCCUGUGGCGUCAGUGUGGAAGCUGCUGGUCCGGCAGCAACAGCUACAGACCAGAGGAGAAACGGGAGAUCACAGCAUCUGCUCUUUCUGGGACCUCUUCCAGUUCUGCCUCCGAUACAGCGCCCCACUUCAGGAGGAUAUCGAAAAGUCAUGUCUGCAUUUGUGUCAUUUCUUAGUCCAAUUGCCUGAGUUUCUUAAAGUAGUCCACACUAUCUGGGCAGAUGAGUGAGGUAAAGUGAAACAGCUAAGGAGAAAUGGGAAGCAGCCAAACAGUGACAAGCACUGGCUCUGAGCCCUCUGGCUCGAUGCGGGAAAGCAAUAAAGGUGGCGUGCAGCUGAGCUAACAGCUGACAGAAACAGGAACCGAUCCUUGGCCAAGGUCAGGAAACAGAUCAUGCACAUAUGCACCCACAUCCACACGGGGUUGGAGUGCAACAGCAAAACGGGGUCAAACAACACCAGGGAAUUAUGCUGCUGUGACCCGGCACUCAACACGGUUCUCAGACUGAAUGGACCCGGAGCAGAAGGACAGCACUGUGUCUGUGUGAUACAACGUAGAAAGUGGGCCAAAAAAAACAAGGUGCCGCCAUCUGUUUCGACCAGUUGCAGAGAGGGCACAUGAAGACGAGAAAAACAGAGCGAACAGUAUGAGGGAUGUAGAGGAUACCGAUGUUGUCGAUGGUGACGAAGGUGGAGAAGUCGGGCGACACGUGGAUCUUCUUGAGGGCGCUUCCUGUCGGAUAAAACGUCUGCAGGGAUUCACCUCUCGCCACGUUCC